UUGCUUUGGUAGCACAUAUACUAAAAUCGGAAUUAUACAGAGAAGAUUAGCAUGACCUUUGCGGAAACAUGACAGGCAAAAUCAUGAAGCGUUACAUAUUUGU